GACGUAGGGGCCAAGCGUUGUCCGGAGUAACUGGGCGUAAAGGGCGCGCAGGCGGUGCGUCACGUCGGGUGUGAAAGCCCCCCGCUCAACGGGGGAGGGUCAUCCGAAACGGACGGACUGGAGGCAGGGAGAGGUCGGUGGAAUUCCCGGAGUAGUGGUGAAAUGCGUAGAUCUCGGGAGGAACACCAGAGGCGAAGGCGGCCGACUGGACCUGACCUGACGCUGAGGCGCGAAGGCGUGGGGAGCGAACGGG
rnacentral:rRNA from 1 species